rnacentral:rRNA from 1 species
UUGGAGGGCAAGUCUGGUGCCAGCAGCCGCGGUAAUUCCAGCUCCAAUAGCGUAUAUUAAAGUUGUUGCAGUUAAAAAGCUCGUAGUUGAAUUUCGGGGUUAGUAGGUUGGUCGUGCCUCAGGUAUGUACUGAUCUCACUGAUUCCUCCUUCCUGAUGAACCGUAAUGCCAUUAAUUUGGUGUUGCGGGGAAACUGGACUGUUACUUUGAAAAAAUUAGAGUGUUUAAAGUAGGCUAACGCUUGAAUACAUUAGCAUGGAAUAAUGAAAUAGGACGUUCGAUCCUAUUUUGUUGGUUUCUAGGAUUGACGUAAUGAUUAAUAGGGAUAGUUGGGGGCAUUAGUAUUCAAUUGUCAGAGGUGAAAUUCUUGGAUUUAUUGAAGACUAACUACUGCGAAAGCAUUUGCCAAGGAUGUUUUCAUUAAUCAAGAACGAAAGUUAGGGGAUCGAAGACGAUCAGAUACCGUCGUAGUCUUAACCAUAAACUAUGCCGACUAGGGAUCGGAUGAUGUUAAUUUUUUAAUGACUCAUUCGGCGCCUUACGGGAAA